rnacentral:rRNA from 1 species
CGAGGAAUUUUCCGCAAUGGGCGAAAGCCUGACGGAGCAACGCCGCGUGGGGGAAGAAGGCCUUCGGGUUGUAAACCCCUGUUGCGAGGGAAGAAGAUCUGACGGUACCUCGCGAGGAAGCCACGGCUAACUACGUGCCAGCAGCCGCGGUAAUACGUAGGUGGCAAGCGUUGUCCGGAUUUACUGGGCGUAAAGCGCGCGCAGGCGGACUGGUCAGUCCGGGGUGAAAUCUCACGGCUCAACCGUGAGGGGUCCCUGGAUACUGCCAGCCUUGAGGGGCUCAGAGGAGAGUGGAAUUCCGGGUGUAGUGGUGGAAUGCGUAGAUAUCCGGAGGAACACCAGUGGCGAAAGCGGCUCUCUGGGGGCAACCUGACGCUGAGGCGCGAAAGCGUGGGGAGCGAACCGGAUUAGAUACCCCUGUAGUCCCUGAGCGGGCUGGCAAGGCGCAU